GACGAACGCUGGCGGCGUGCUUAACACAUGCAAGUCGAACGCUGAAGCCCAGCUUGCUGGGUGGAUGAGUGGCGAACGGGUGAGUAACACGUGAGUAACCCGCCCUCUUCUUUGUGAUAACGCCCGGAAACGGGUGCUAAUACUGGAUAUUCACUGAUUCUCGCAUGGGGGUUGGUGGAAAGGUUUUUUCUGGUGGGGGAUGGGCUCGCGGGCUAUCAGCUUGUGGGUGGGGUGAUGGCGUCCCAAGGCUUUGACGGGUAGCCGGCCUGAGGGGGUGACCGGUCAGAUUGGGACUGAGAUACGGGCCAGAGUCAUACGCGAGGCAGCAGUGGGGGACAUUGGGCGAUAGGCGAAAGCCUGAUGCAGCGGCGCGGCGUGAGGGCGGGAGGCGUUCGGGGUGGAAACCUCUGUCGCUAAUGGCCAAGCCGCAGGUUGGGGUUGUGGUGAGGGUAGUGGGUAAAGAAGCGCCGGCUAACUACGUG
rnacentral:rRNA from 1 species